rnacentral:misc_RNA from 1 species
AUGAAUCUUACCCAAAAUGACUCGUGGAUAAACUGAUUUGAGGCUAAACGGAGAGUGGGUAGUCCAAAAAAUCGCCUCCUCGCUUGAAUCACUGCUGAUCGCCGGAAUCGCGUGGGUUUGGGAUCAAAUCCGCGCAGGUCAGGUUCGUGGUUCGUGGGAACGCUGCUUUCGCUCGUAAAUGUUCGUUUGCAAGGUCGUCGUUCAGAGGAUGUCCUCUUCUGGGAGAGCUUCGCGCCACUAUUCUUCGUGCGGGGGGAAAGCGCCGUCGGCGCUCGUGAUGCUGCUGCACUCCGCAAGUCACCGACGGAAGGGCUGCUCGCCAGAAUAGAAAGGGAGCAGGUUCGUGGGU